UUUCAAUUUUCGAGUGCCUUUUGCCUUCUCCUUCCUCGAGUCGAGCAGAAAAAACGCAGAUACCUUCUCUCUCUUUCUCCGGCACGCCCGACUGUCUCCACCUCCACCUCCGCCUCCCCCGCCGAUCCCCCUUCCCCAAAGCCCCCGUCGGCCGCAGGUGCUGCUCAGAUCUGCCUCUGGCACGUCGCCUCCCUGAAGACCCCCGCUGGGUUGCAGCUGCUGGGUCUCGAGCGCCCUUUGCCUCCGCCGUCACCUCCGGAGUCUCAUCGGCGGCUACGAUUUGUCAGCUCACUCCUCUCUCCCACCCGCGCUCGCGCUGAUCUCUGGGGAACCUGGUGGCGUCUAUCCCGCCGCUCUUCUAUCCCCCUUCUCUCUGCAGCAUCUUGCCAUUUCCAGCAGUCGGAACAUCAACAAGAGCGUCUUCGAGCUGCCCGCAUAUGACCCAGCAUCGGAAAUGAUGAGGAAGGAGGAAACGCGCAACAAGCUCGCUACCUCCGGUCUUGAUCGUGUGUACGGCUGUUCUCUGGUUCUUUUCCAAUCCAGGUACAAGAAAACUAGGAAACUUCACACACCCAUUGAAGCUGAGCAACAGAGCAAGCCAUUACACGAGGCUCUGACCUUGGCUCUAUCAUUCAAGAAAUCCAGGGAAAAUUCGGAAACACCCCUCGACCUAUCGACGCAGAUGAAGAUGGGCACCUCUUCGAUGCACACGUAAAUCGGGCUACAUGUCCAUGGCCUCCACUUCCUCCAUCUCUCUCGCCUAUCGGAUUCAUUGUUUGGCGGCAUCUGCAGUUAACGCUGCGGGUCGAAGCCGUGGGCCGGAGCUUGGGUUCUUUAGCGUGCUGUGCUCCCGCUAUUGCGCGCGCACGGCGCUUUGCGUGCGCGGACGGGGCCUCUGUCGUGGAAUAAACGGAGAUUUUUCAGGUAUGGAGGCUUGGUGAUACUGGCUGCUUCGGCUUCUAAUUCCAGCCGGAGUCAGGAGAGCUUAUCGGGAGGCCGAGGGGAAGAGUUCUUUGCUGGCUGUUGUUGCUCCUGUGAAGCAGGUCGCGUCCUUUGCCGUUCCUGCCGGAGUAUUUGUGGUCGUGACUUUUGGUAUGAAAGUUUUAACGUUAUUGUUGAUUUGCUGUGAGGAAGAGAGUAGGGGUGAUUUUAGACUAUGAUGAGAAGCUUUUCCUAAUUGGAACCGAUUAGAACGUGGUUGUUUAUGGUUUGGCGUUGCACCUUCUAUUGUCAAGAGGUUGUGUAAAGGAUUAUUUUUUCUGGCAGAGAGUUCGGGUUACAAUAAUGUAAUUUGAGUAAGCCACCAGUAUAUCUUUCAGAUGUCCUGAUGAGAGUUGUCGACUUUGGUGUGUUUUAAUGUUAAACCAUGCCUGAUGGAUCAAUUUUUAGUGUUUCCAUUAUUCGAUUAUCACUUAUUUUUGCAAAUAACAACACGGUUGUUCACAUCGGCGCUCUAGUACAUGUGUUUCUUUGCCUCUUAUGAUUUGAAAUUUCUUGUUUUUGAAGCAGCUCUUUAGUGACAUGUUCUUGUUGAUAGAGUCCAUGCGAUGUAUUGGUGAAUAAUACUGCUAUCCAGAAGCUCCUACUGAAUAGUACUGAUUUGGGGAUGAGGUAUUUUUUGUCUUGACUGCAACAUGUUUACCAAGCACUGAAUUGUGGAUGAAGUUUAAGCCUUCCAAAUAGUGACAGGUUGGAGAUGUCCUCAUACUUUUUUUGUGGAGGGAGCUAAGACUAUUGCAGAGUUGUUGAAAGAAAAACUCAACCUUGCGAGUUCUUGAACUCAACAAAAAUAUGAUUGAUUAUUCUAUAUGCAUUUACUUUAUCAUCUAAGAUUUUUAGCCAGUUGUUAUUUGUUAGGAACCAAAAGUUUGCUAGACUAUUCUGUUUAUCGACUGUUCAUUUAUUCGCUAGUGUUAGGGAUUUACAAGUCUUGCAGGAGCAUUGCUCAAGAAUAAUACCAUACAAAAUUUACAUCUAAAGUAAGUUAACUUUCCAAUGAUGGUCCCCAAAAAAUUGUACCUAUCCAUUUUGAAAUUUCUUGUUGUCUCAUUUGCAUUAGUUUAAGUUUAUCAACAAAUCUUAGUCUCUACUACAAAGAUGCACCUGAGUUUGGUUCGCAUGUGUGAACUUGCAUUUCCAUGGUUGGCAUAUCUUUGAUAUGCUUCUAGUGGCGUGCUUUAGUUUUGCUUCAUUGAAGAUUUUGAUGGAUGAUGUAUUUUCAGCCACAACUAUGGUGGCGCACUAGGGGCCAAUGCUUUGGCUAAAGGGUUGGAGGGAAACAAGUCAUUGAGGAACAAAUAAAGAUGGACAACAUUUCAACUCUGAAGGAGUAAAAUUUUUUCGUCUCUGGACAACAACCAGCAGAGUUGUUGAAGAAAAACUGAACCUCGCAGGUUCAAGAGUGGUUUCAGAGAAGGUAUUGAAGCUGCGCCAAGGAAGCAUGCAGCUCCAGCUGCGUGCCCAUUUAAUAUGUGGGCGCAAGAAACUUUUGGGGCAUAAUCAUGUUAUUUUGAAGGAUUUAGUUAUUGAUAUGUGGACACGGGAAACUUUCGGCAUAUACGGUUGUGCUUUUAAUAUGCUUUGUUUUUGUUUCAUCUAUUGUGGCAUUGUUUGCCAUUUUGCAUGAUUAACCACUACUCUUACCAAGUAUGAGUAGUGAUCAAUCAUUGGCCACAGUACUCAUUCUGGAAAAUGUAAGCACUGUUUCUGUCCUGGAGUUGAGAGCAAGUCUCAGGUAUGAAUGCAAAUCUCAGCUAAAUAAAAAUGCAAUAACAACUUGCAUGCUACCUCGUGAUCAUCAUAUCAACUGAUGUUUCUUUGACUUCAUUAAAGGCCAUGGCAGACAUGGAGCGGGCAAUUAUAAAAGCACUGGAGAAGCAAUAUAAUGACAUCUUGACUCCGUUAAAGACAGCAUCCCAAAGAGGUUGAAUAUGCAAGUUUAGAAGCUGACAAGACAGCAGUCAACAGCAGUAUAUUGUGUUCCCAG